UUUUCAGAAGAUUAGACUCAAUAUCUCUAGUGAGAUAGACCGCAAAAUCCAUAUACUUGUUAGGAGCUGGAGAAUCUGAGUUAAGCUUCUCGUAUUCCCAGCUCCAUCUCGCUAUACUUCUUCCAUGGAGCUUCGGUAUAAUCUGAAGGUUGCAUUUGAAACUACUGUAGUUUUCCAUUACAUCUCCAUCGAACACAAACACAGUCAUUGAUUUGUUCUCCUCGUCUAUUUCAACUCUCUCCUUCAUCUUCUCCACUUUUCCAUCUGCAAACGAAACCCAUAUCAGAUUAGAGUGAUACAGAGAGUUAUAUAUGGGAAUUGUUGUAAUAAGAGGAGAGUUAUUUUAUUUUAUUUUACCGAUAGACAAAGUCCAGUUCUUGGUGUAAUCACCGACUUGCUCCUCCACGCUAAGUAUUUUCUCUGGAGAUAGUUUUGGUACGCUGCGGGAAGUAGCCUUAAUAGCUUGGAAAAUCUUGUCAGCUGAUACUUUGAUUUCCACUUCUAUCAUGGAUUUCGCCAACUGAGCCAUCGCUUUUUAUGUUAGUUGAUCUUCGAUGUUAGUCUAACUCUGCUUAUAUAAUAAGUGCAGUCUUUUGGAGGAAGAAUCAAUAUGGGAAUAUGGUACCAUGCCUAGUAUUUACGCUAGUUUAUAUUUAAUGGUUUCUUUGUUGUAUUCACAUACAAGACUCUCAUGUGGAGAAUUGAUCCACCAGGAAUCUCCACUCAAUAUUAGACCUUCUCAAUGGAUAAUUAUAUAUCUCACAAGUGUGAUGGAGCUUGCUUGUUGCUUAUAUUACUCUACAAGCCUACAACCGAAGAGGUCUCACCAUUAUUAACUUAUAAAACGUUCAACAUUCGAUCGAGUAACUUUCUCACCAUAGACAAUUGUAAAUUUGUAAUGGCAUUGAGCAGAAUGAUGCUCCUACAAAGUUUGGGCCUCUUAUAAAGUCUAGGCCUGUGUUGGAAUUUUAUUUUAUAGUAACUGGUAAGAAUGCACCCAAAAGCCCAUAUAAUUUGUCAUAUAUUCUUGUUUCUUUUUAAUAUUUUUAUGAUUAUAAUACCCUUAUCUCUAUCUCUCUCCCUUUUUCCUUUUUAUGUGUUCAAAUUUCUUUAUCUCUCGUAUAGAUUCUUCAAAUCAUCUUCUAAUUCAACACAAAUCUUUAUUUUUUUAUUCUGAUUCUUUUAACAUCCAUAAUGCUAAUCUUAUUAUCUCACCCCAAUUCCAAUGUUUCUAAUUUCGACCCAUAAUCAACUUUUAGAUAAUAUAUACGUUAGUAGGUAUUUUAUUACUUACAUGCUAUUAUUUAGAUUUUAAUGGAUUAUUAAUCGAUACAUGAAGUGUUAGCUGUAACAAAUAGUUUUGGGGCUAUUUGAUAGAUAACUAAUUAAUUGUUAAUAGUUUCAUUGACUGAUAUAUGAUUUGUUAGUCGAUACAUUUGUUUGAUACAUAGAUUGUUAGAUGAUACUGAAAUUAUUAGCUGAUAUGUUAGUUGAUAUGUAGAUUGUUACCUACUAUGUAAAUAUUUAACUGAUAAAUCUAGAGUUACUUGUUUUCGAUAAAGCAUGAGGGUAUUUUUCAUCCGCACAGUGUCAAAAAGUGACUUUUUUGGGUUAUCCAUAAUUAUGGGCAUUCAUCUAAUUUAGACCUUAAUUGGGUAUAUUCCAUACAUUCACUCUUUAUUUUAUAACGAACUUGAUGUUCCCAAAAAAUUAAUAGAUGUUUCGUAUAAUUUGAUCGUCUAGACUCCAGCAUGCAAUUUUAACGUCUAGCGUUUUCCUAACACUCAUUUUGCGACAUUUUUCUGAAUGAAGAAAAAGUAGACCCGCACAAAUUGAUAGCACCUAAAAUGACAGAACAAAUCAGUUGCGAUCUAGAGGGCAACAAGGACGUAUGGUUGUCUACCAAAUAAAUGAUGGUUUUUCCUCUCACUUGUAAACAGAUCAUCAUGAUUCAUGUCUUUUUUUUAUAAAGAAAACAAAUCAUCAUGUCUCCUCAAAAUAUAUCAAAAACUAGUUUCAGUUGUUUUUUUUGUAUUUCAAAACAGAUCUUUUAAUGUUUAAUGUGUACUAAUUAGAAUUUAGAUUGUAGAGGUGGAAUUUAAGGGUUAACUUUACGGAUCUAGAAUGUAAAAUCAGGGGGUAAUAAUAUUUCUUUUACUUUGAAAUAACAAUUUUGCAAAUAAUUUUAAAAUAUUUAUUUAUAUGAAAUAUAUUAUAUGUUAAAGAGAGUUUAGAUUUUUAAAAUUUUUUGUGAAAGAUUUUUUUUUAUUUUUGCUAUUCUACAUUUUUUUCAAUAUGUGUUACUUACUUAUUUCCAGAUAUUACAUAAAAAGACAAUUUUCUCAAAUAGCAAAAAAUAGUUUUUAACACAACUGUUGUAGUAUGCUAUUCUACAUUAUUUAUUUCAAAUACAUAAGAGAUUUUAAUGAAACAAACCCUCAGCUAUAGGCCCAUUUGUUUUUUAACCCUUAAGUAUUUUUAUAAUGAAAUAAUUUCUUAACUAAAAGCUAUUAGAAAAUUUGACUUUCCGUCAUUGGCAACGUUAAACCCAAAAACAAUUGUUUUAAUGCCAAUUAAAUGAAAAAACGAAGGUGCAAGGUAGAGUUCGAAAAUCCAGUAACUGUCAACAACAACAAGUCGGGCACAAUAUACGCUCAUCCAAGCGUGAAGCCGUGUCUAAACCACCUAAGAGACUUCGAGGAAGACCGAGCAAAAAACAUAAGAUUAUGGUAGAAGAAGACCAACACAAUCCUCCAUAGUUUCUUAGAAAAUGAUACAAAUGUUUCUUUUCUUAAGUUAUGCCUUUUGACGAUGUUCGUUUGUCUUUGGUUGAACUAUGUUACACUUUAUGAUGCUCUGUUUUUUUGUAUACAAUGCUCUGUUUUUUUGGUAUACAAUGCGAUGCUCUGUUUUAAUGAUAAAAUUAUGCUAGUUUGAUCUAUAUUGUUGGUAAAACAAAAGAUAAUGGUUUAAGGAGAUGUUUUUUAAAUGAGAAUAUUUAGUUUUAAAACUCGUUUUCAGCUUAUUCAAGUUCUAAAGUUUUAUUGAUCUUAUAAAAAAUUGAAAGUUUGUUCGUAGAAACUAAGGAAUGACAAUGAUAAUGCUUGUUCACGUUCAAGUCUUAAAUUUUAGAAUGAAAGAUUUGCUUUCUUAGGUUAGUUAUGAAGAUGAUUGUCGCAAUUCAAUCUGUUUUCUGAAAGUGUUUUUUUUUUUCUGAAGAAGACACCUUAUUGUUUCACUUUUAGAAUGUUGACAACAUGUUGUUUUGUUACAAUAAAACAACACUUUCUUAUUGUUGACGGAAGCUGUCUAGGGAUUAAACGUUCUUAAAAGUAAAGGGUUAAUUAUACUAACGGACUUCAGCUCAGAGGUUGUCUUGUUAAUAAAAUAGCUGAGAGUUAAAAAAUGGAUGGCCGGAUAGUUGUUUUAUUAAAUUCCCAAUACAUAAUUAAGCAAACAUCCUUAUUUAAGACGAGAGCAAACACACACACACAUACGAGGAGGGGUCCUCUAUUCUUCGGUCAAGAGAUGUUCGUCGAUCCCUUGAGACAUUUCUGUAAGGAGCUGGAUAAGAGUCUCAGGGUGAGCCACCUCCUCACUAAUUUUCUCUCCGACGGAAUUCCGACGACUUUACUGUUAAUCGGAAUGUCGUCGGAAAUUCGUCGGAAUAUACCGACGAACUUCCGACGACUACAACAGUUACAUUUUUUAUCGGAAUGUCGUCGAAAAGUCGUCGGAAAAUUCCGACGACUUCAUUUUUUUGGAUUUGGUCGGAAAUUGGUCAGUAAUCCGUCACAAAUGUCCGACGACAUUGAUGUCCGUCGGAACUUCCGUCGGAAUUCGGCGUGUUUUCUUGUAUUGUAACAAUCUUUUGUUUAAGUAGAUUUUUUAAGAAUUCUUCCCUUUUAAUAGUAUUGAUCAAAGUAGAAACCCAACCCCUUCAAACUUUUAUUGAUGUAACUUUCGCACGUACACACAUGGCAUAAAGAGAUGAAAUCAUUGUUAUAAACAAAUCAAUACAUAUUAACUUACAGCUUUAUGUUUUCAGAAGAUUAGACUCAAUAUCUCUAGUGAGAUAGACCGCAAAAUCCAUAUACUUGUUAGGAGCUGGAGAAUCUGAGUUAAGCUUCUCGUAUUCCCAGCUCCAUCUCGCUAUACUUCUUCCAUGGAGCUUCGGUAUAAUCUGAAGGUUGCAUUUGAAACUACUGUAGUUUUCCAUUACAUCUCCAUCGAACACAAACACAGUCAUUGAUUUGUUCUCCUCGUCUAUUUCAACUCUCUCCUUCAUCUUCUCCACUUUUCCAUCUGCAAACGAAACC
rnacentral:lncRNA from 1 species